AUGGGCUACCGGGUAAUCUAUGUUUCUUUCCCUUUAAUGAAGCUGCGACUGAAAGAAUGGGAGCAGGUGAAAGGGGAGAAGCAGCUGUCGGCCACAGAGGAGAAACUGAAAUUAGCUGCAGAAGAGCUGUGGAACUACAAGGCUCAUGAUCAGGAGAGGGCAGUGGCAGAGCAGAGCAAGGAGGUGGCCUACUUGAAGUGCAGAGACUUUAGCCGAUCCAGAAGCUGGUGUCACUCCCAUGAGUCACAACAACAAGCACUCUACCAAAAAUGCCAAGAAGGACCAGGGCAGUGUGGAUUCGUGGGGGUCUCCUCUCUUAACUGGAAGAUUCUGCACACCCUACCCUAAAGGCCACCCUAUGGGCUCCUGGGCACAUCCACCUCCUGAACCUUGGUGGCCCUGAGGAACACCCUAAACCCCUCCACCUACACCACUUGGUAAGAUGAUCUGAGCAGUAUGUGUUGAUUUGCAAAACACAUUCAUCUAAUUUUUGUUGUUGUUGAGUCUUGGACAAAGUGCAGAGGUGUUACCACUGGGCAUUAUAAUGCAAGAGAAAUGUGUCUACCGCAAUUACUACAUUCCUCAAGUGUCUCAUGAUCCCUAUCAUCUUUGUGUCAUUUCUCCCACUCUGUGUUGGUACAUAUGUCUCUUGUGGAGAUGGAAUGGGGCCAUAUACAGAAAAGCAGGCAUGGCGCUUCAGCAGAUGUGUGCCGUACACAGUCCACGUGCUGGGCGGUGGGAGGCAUGAGGCUCAGCCUAAUGUAUAUCUAUCCAGUUGAGCCCUCACUCAUCCACAGUUGUUUGAUGAGUCAUGAAAGCAUCUGAACCAGGGCUAUAACAGGUCUUCAUCAAAGUUUAAGGGAUGGUUCUCCCCUUCACCUUGGGAUCGCCUGAAGCAUGUGGGAUACCCUCUGCAUGUGAUUUGGGAUGUGACUGGGCCAAAGAGUUUAAGUUGUUUGAGGAAUGAGGUGAUGGUUUUUGUUUUUAGUUUUUUGUAGUUUUUUUUUUUUUUUUUUUUUUUUUUUUGUCUCUGCACAAUCUACUCCAAUCAAAAUAAACCUCCAUCCCUUCUCGGGUCUUUUGCA
rnacentral:lncRNA from 1 species